CGGCAUAUGGAAGUUCCCAGGCUAGGGGUCGAAUCGGAGCUGCAGCUGCCAGCCUACACCACAGCCACAGCAACGUCAGAUCUGAGCUGCGUCUGUGACCUACACCACAGCUCACGGCAACGCCAGAUCUUUAACCCGGUGAGCAUGGCCAGGGAUCAAACCCGCCUCCUCAUGGGUGCUGGUCAGAUUCAUUGCCACUGAGCCACAGUGGGAACUCCCAGACUAUGGAUAUUUUAAAGAAGAUUAUAUAUGUACAAAAACAUUUUAUAAGAAUUUAUUUUUAUAAAGAGGUUAUUUAAAAAUACAUGUAAAAUAUAUAAUCUUUUUUUAAUGGCUGCAGCUGUGGCAAUCCCAAAUCCUUUAACCUGCUACACCGAGCUGGGAUCGAACCUGCGCCUCUGCCGCAACUCAAGCCUCUGCAGUUGGAUUCUUAACCCACUGCACUAGAGAAGGAACUCCUAAAACACAUAAUCUUUUAAAAUAAGGGGGGGAGUGGGAUGGGUUGGGAAUUUGGGGUGAAUAGAUGCAAACGAUUGCUUUUGGAAUGGAUAAGCAAUGAGAUCUUGCUGUAUGGCACUGGGAACUAUAUCUAGUCACUUAUGAUGGAGCAUGAAAGUGUGAGAAAAAAGAAUGUAUACAUGUAUGUGUGACUGGGUCAGCUUACUGUACGGUAGAAAAUUGACAGACCGCUGUAAACCAGCUAUCAUGGAAAAAAUAAAAAUCAUUAUAAAAAAAUAGAAUAUACCCAUAAGUUUUUUUGUUUUUUUUUUAAAUACGUGUUUAUGGUAAACAUUUUUAUUUGUGCUGCAGGGUGAGGCUUAAUUUUCAAAAGACCAGUGUUUCUUGACUCAAUUUGGAUUACAUUUAUUCUUUAAACUUCCCUUUUCUCCAGUGCAGUUGGGCACAGCUUUCUCUCUGGCGUUUAUUUGUUCACCUACCUCCUUUAUCUUCAGCAAGCCAACCUAUCCACCUGUCAGUCUUACCUGGUUAACAUUUAGCCAAGUUCGAGGAUGGGCAUAGUUUUCCUCUGAAUCAGAACUUUUAGCGUAACCGGUCCGUGGGGCACCUGCACAGACGCGAAGGGGAGAGAGGGAAGAGGCUUUUCACCGUCCUUUUCACCCUCUAGAGGGAUAAAUUCAGCCCAUUUGGAACAGGUCCGAAAGGAUGAACAUGAAAAUAAAUGUUGCUGAACUCUCGCCUCUCAGAUAAUCGUGAUCAACAUACUGAUCUAUUUAUUUUUUUGGAGGGACCGUAGGACCUACAGUAAACAGAAUUUGAAAGUGGGCUGUGCCUGUUCUCUAUUUAAUUAUACAAAGCAUUGAUGAGUACUUUCUGUGGUAAAAUAGAUAAACAAUGCAGAAACCGAAUCUACCGCUUCCUUUUCUAGGACAAACUGUAGAGGCAUGUUCUUUAAAAGUCCCUACCCGCCUCUGCCACUGUGGCUCCUUUCUUCUUCCAAGGACAUGUUCAGCUCCAGGUGAAAGUUUCUUGGCCUGGAGCCCUGAGUCCCCAGAGCGUGGUUUGAAAGCCACCACCCUAUUUAUUAAGAAUGAGGACCUUUCUCUCUCCCACCCUUCACCUACCACCUUACUGCAUGAUCGGACUGAUAGCAGAAAACGUUCGGAAUUACAGAAGCAAAGGGCAUCUGGAUUUAGAAUCCCCGACAAUUGUUAGGGACCUUUGGAGGUCAUCUUGUGUCACCCCCUCAUUUUCUGGAUGAGAAAACUGAGGCCCAGUAAACAGUGCUAAGUGUCUCGUUCCAGGUCAUUCAGCCAGUUCAUGACGUCACUGAACGUUCAGGAUUCUGGCUUGUGUCUUUCUUUUUCAAUGAAGAUGUUGAUCUACUUUGAAAAACAAGAACAAAAGCCAAGUUUUGGUCUGGUUUCGGUUGCAGAGAGCUGAAUUCACUCCUUUCGAGUUUAAGCAGAAAGGAAUUUGUUGGAGGGCGUUGAAAUUGACGAGGACAUCAAAGCGAUUUUAGCAAAAUCAUCAAGCAGUCUAGAAAAACCUCUAGAUUGUUCUCUCAGAAACAGCUCUCAGAGCCACGCAGCAGAUCUGCUGCUGCCUCUUCUGUCCUCUGGAAGCCACCUGGCCAAUUGGGAAGCUGAUGCUGUAGCUACAGAGUUCAGAACCAUGGCCGUGUUGCCCCGUCAGGAAGCACUGCCGCUGCUUUGCUCUGAUCUUCUCCAGCAAAGUGGGGGUCUCCAUGAGGGGUCAGCUGAGAGGCAGUGUUGCUGCAGAACAGUCAAACACCUCCCUGGCCCUCCUGUCAGAGCAAACAACGGAAGCGGAGUCCUCUAUUUCCCCUUCACAGCUAGCUGCAAGGGAGUCCACCCUAGUAAUUGUCAGUUUCCCGGUUCCUGUGUAACAGCAAGGGCUUGUUGGGAGGAGGUUGGAUUGGAUGAUGGAUGCCUGACACCUCUUUACCACGUCUUCUCAGCAAUUUAGUAAACAGAUCAAAUGAUUAUGGUCAUGGAAAGUAGACUAGAAGAGAAGUAAAAAACCACCAGUGGAUUGUACAGAAUAUAAAAGGACAGAUCGAGGAAGAAGCUAUAUGGAAUUCCUGUCGUGGCUCAGCAGAAACGAGUCUGACUAGCAUCCCUGAGGGCACAGGUUCGAUCCCUGGCUUCACUCAGUGGGUUAGGGUCCAGCAUUGCCAUGAGCUGUGGUGUAGGUCGCAGACGUAGAUUGGAUCUCAUGUGGCUGUGGCAUAGGCCCACAGCUACAGCUCCGGUUUGACCCCUAGCUUGGGAACCUCCAUA
rnacentral:lncRNA from 1 species